GUUUCUCUAAGCUGUUCUCUAAGUUUUUUAAAAAGCUGUUCUCUAUGUUUCAAGUCUGAAUGUGCCCUCAUGGCUGUUCUCUGUGUUUCUCUGGCUGUUCUCUCUUCUCUCUGUUCUCUGUGCUUCUCUAAGCUGUUCUCUAUGUUUCUCUAUGCUGUUCUCUAUGUUUCUCUAAGCUGUACUCUAUGCUUCUCUUAGCUGUUCUCUAUGCUUCAUUAAGCUGUUCUCUAUGUUUCUCUCAGCUGUUGUCUAUGUUUCUCUCAGCUGUACUCUAUGCUUCUCUUAGCUGUUCUCUAUGCUUCUCUAAGCUGUUCUCUAUGUUUCUCUCAGCUGUUCUCUAUGCUUCUCUAAGCUGUUCUCUGUGCUUCUCUAAGCUGUUCUCUAUGUUUCUCUCAGCUGUUCUCUAUGUUUCUCUAAGCUGUUCUCUGUGCUUCUCUAAGCUGUUCUCUAUGUUUCUCUCAGCUGUUCUCUAUGCUUCUCUAAGCUGUUCUCUGUGCUUCUCUAAGCUGUUCUCUAUGCUUCUCUAAGCUGUUCUCUAUGCUUCUCUAAGCUGUUCUCUGUGCUUCUCUAAGCUGUUCUCUAUGUUUCUCUUGGCUGUUCUCUAUGCUUCUUUAAGCUGUUCUCUAUGCUUCUCUUAGCAGUUCUCUUCUCUAAGCUGUUCUCUGUGUUUCUCUAAGCUGUUCUCUAUGUUUCUCUUGGCUGUUCUCUAUGCUUCUUUAAGCUGUUCUCUAUGUUUCUCUCAGCUGUUCUCUAUGCUUCUCUAAGCUGUUCUCUAUGCUUCUCUUAGCAGUUCUCUUCUUUAAGCUGUUCUCUAUGCUUCUCUAAGCUGUUCUCUAUGUUUCUCUCAGCUGUUCUCUAUGCUUCUCUAAGCUGUUCUCUGUGCUUCUCUUAGCUGUUCUCUAUGCUUCUCUAAGCUGUUCUCUAUGUUUCUCUCAGCUGUUCUCUAGGUUUCUCUUUGCUGUUCUCUGUGCUUCUCUUAGCGGUUCUCUUCUCCAAGCUGUUCUCUGUGCUUCUCUUAGCAGUUCUCUUCUCUAAGCUCUUCUCUACACUUCUCUAAGCUGUUCUCUGUGUUUCUCUCAGCUGUUCUCUAUGCUUCUCUAAGCUGUUCUCUAUGCUUCUCUUAGCAGUUCUCUUCUCUAAGCUGUUCUCUGUGCUUCUCUUAGCAGUUCUCUUGUCUAAGCUGUUCUCUGUGCUUCUCUCAGCUGUUCUCUAUGCUUCUCUAAGCUGUUCUCUAUGCUUCUCUUCGCAGUUCUCUUCUCUAAGCUGUUCUCUAGGAAUCUCUUAGCUGUUCUCUAUGCUUCUCUAAGCUGUUCUCUAUGCUUCUCUUAGCUGUUCUCUAUGCUUCUCUAAGCUGUUCUCUAUUCUUCUCUUUGCUGUUCUCUAUGCGUCUUUAAGCUUGUUCUCUGUGCUUCUCUAAGCUGUUCUCUA
ensembl:lncRNA